UGUGGGAGCCAGCCUGCUGGCGAUAGCGGUAUACCGGUCAACAUUUCUGUUUACCGGCACACCGCAAUCGCUAGCAGGCUAGCUCCCACA
rnacentral:misc_RNA from 1 species